AAAUUGAAUCUUCCUUGACUGCAUCAAUAGUAUAAUGAUAUUGUUCCAAGACUGACUACUUGUUGACAAGGUCAAUUGAAAGUAGUAUAUAAUCUUGAACCAAAAGGCAGGAAAAAAUAUCUUUCACGUGAGUCUGCAUACUGAAUAUAAAUUUGCUAUGAGCAAAAUCUUCAUAGCAUUUUGAAAUUCGAAUUAUAUAUAAAUAUAAUCUGACAGGAUGGCAGAAGUAUAAUUCGAUCACUAAUUGCAGUUAUACAUACUACUGGAUUAACCAAAAUGAUAACCCAGAGAAAAAAAUGAUAGCAAAAAAUUCCAUGAUGAGAAAGGCAAGAUAUAUAAGAAAACUAACCAUCAACAGAACUGGCUUCAGUAGAUAUUGGUCUCCAUUGACGAGUAACUGUCUUUUGCUUUUUGUUCCUGUCCAUGCUACCUAACCUAAUUUUUGGCCCUGUUGUCUUCCUAUUAAAGCUCAAACUAUAAUAAGAACAUUGUUCCUGCCACAUCAGUUAUUGCAAUAAAACUAAGCCAGCUGCAGACUCCAUUAAAUACCACACUACACCUUUUACACAUCUAGAAUCUCCAAAUUAUAUUGAGCAGCAACAAGAAAAAAAUUUUAACACUUAUUUUUGACAGAAGAAACUGAAAAUUAGUGUACUAAACUAAGAAUCUUAUGAUAUAAUGCAUCAGAAGAUCAUUUGUUCCACCUUUACGCUUUUACCCCUUUCAAUCCAGUUAACAAAAUUGCAAAGGAAAAAAAAGAAUCAGAACAUAAUUAAAUCACAAAGUGGACUGGAAAGCCAACAUAACUUCAGAUACAAUGUUGAACACUUCAGUUCCUGGAGAAGAAUUAUUAGUUCUUCAAAGUGCAUAAGUAUCCUCCUCCCUUUUCUGUAAGCAUUUUUAGUAGGCUUCCUUCUAAGUUU
rnacentral:misc_RNA from 1 species